GUUGCAGAAGCACAUCAAUCUACAGAUACCAAAGCUUCCUAUUACUUAGAUUUGUUUUUCCUAUAUUAAAAUUAUAAAAAUUAAGAAGGGCAAAUAGGUGUUUUGAAGAACAGCUGGAGAAGCAAUUACAGAUUCCUUGCAAUCAUCCUCAUUGUGAUUUCUCAACAUACCACAAAAGUACGGAUAGAGUGUUUUCCGCCUUUCAGAUGCUUAAAAAGGAAAGAUAGAAGUUACCUGUGAAGAAACUCAUUUUUUUUGACAGUUGACAACCUUUUUUUUUUUUUUCUUC